AGUAAUAACAAAUUGAAGAAAACAAAUCGUGGCUGAAAAAGGUUGAAGAAAUACAGUAAUAACACUCUAGAAAUCAAAACGGAGACCUAACCUAAUGGCUGGGGUGGAAGAAAGAUUGGGGAACCUGCUAGCGCUCUCAACAUCACUCCAAAUCUCGUUCUCCUUCUCACUCUCACUCUCAAUCUCACUGGCACUCUCGAUCGUGCUCCUCCGCUCCUUGAAUCUCUCUCUCGUUUUAACAAAUUCUAGGGUUACAUUUGUUGUUCUCUGUUUUGAGUCGUCUUCUCAGCGGUUCCAUCCUUUACUCAAUUCACGGCUUGGAAGUGGUGGUUCUAAUGCUAACAACCAAUGGCAUGGUUUCUUCAAGCUUCUCAAGAAAGGCCCACAGAUGCCAUUUCAACCAUUUCACCCUCUUAAGAAGGAUGUUUCUAAGUUAAGUAGAAGGAAGAGUAAGAGGGUUAGAGAGGAUCUCAUUCUUUCUUCUUUUGACUCUGAGUUUGCCAACUUCAAAUCUUCAUGGAAGAAUUUCACUCUCUCUGAACUCCAGGCUGCAACUGAUGACUUUAACCAUGGGAGGGACAAGCGUCCAGUUAAGUCUUUGGUUGUUGGAAGGCCAAUUCUUCUAGCACUGGAAGAUAUUGAUGAAGGAACUAAAGUUGAAGAAAUUCUAAGGCAGUCAACAGAUGUCGAAGAGGUUGAUAGGAGAGUUCAAGAAUAUGAGCAAGGUGAAUCCUCGCCCAUCACGUCCAUCUGAAAAUAAUACUGUAAGCAGCUUAUUGUUCCUUACCUGAUUGUAAAAUUCAUGGUUUGCAUAUCUUUAUCUCUAUUAAUGUAUUGAUUUAUCAUCUUUAUCUCUGUGACGGUUGCAUAUCUGGAUUUUGUAUGAGUUAUUCUGAAUUCUCAAAUAGAAAAUCAUUGAUAUGUAGCAUCUAGAAGAUAUGAAGCAGCAGGGUGGAUUAGAAAAAUGGUUAAAGUUGUUGCAGGUUGUGGAGAGUCCUAUUGAUUCUGCAUUGAUCCUGGAUGGGGCACUAUUAUCGGCAUAUCAGUACUUCGAAAACGUGAGAAAUUUUCUGGUUGCUGUCCAGUUAUAUAAGAGAAUGAUAUUAAUGUAAAAUUAGUAUGUUAAUUGGUGUUAUCUUGUGCUGUUAGAUGACAAAUAGGGAGCACUUGAAUUCUUCAAGUUAAUAUUAGUAUGAAUUUUAUUAUUUUGUUACUUGUAAAUAUUUAUAUGUAGUCAAACUAAUCUUUACUGUAGGAAAAGUUUAUGCAAUGUAAGCAUAUUGAAGAAAUAGGAAAAUUGACUUAUUGGACCAAAUUUAGUGUUUAAAUAUCUUGGGUUUAAUUUGUAAAGUGGGUGUAGAAUAUGUAAUUGAAGAAAAAUAUCUUAAUUCAAUAUUUUGUGCA